rnacentral:rRNA from 1 species
GGACUACCGGGGUUUCUAAUCCUGUUUGCUCCCCACGCUUUCGCGCCUCAGCGUCAGUAUUGGUCCAGAAAGCCGCCUUCGCCACUGGUGUUCCUUCCGGUAUCUACGCAUUUCACCGCUACACCGGAAAUUCCACUUUCCUCUACCAUACUCUAGUUACGCAGUAUCAAAUGCAAUUCCUUGGUUAAGCCAAGGUCUUUCACAUCUGACUUACAUGACCGCCUACGCGCUCUUUACGCCCAGUAAUUCCGAUUAACGCUCGCACCCUCUGUAUUACCGCGGCUGCUGGCAC